rnacentral:rRNA from 1 species
CCCAGACUCCUACGGGAGGCAGCAGUGGGGGAUAUUGCACAAUGGGGGAAACCCUGAUGCAGCGACGCCGCGUGGGUGAAGAAGUAUUUCGGUAUGUAAAGCCCUAUCAGCAGGGAAGAAAGAAGACGGUACCUGACUAAGAGGCCCCGGCUAACUACGUGCCAGCAGCCGCGGUAAUACGUAGGGGGCGAGCGUUAUCCGGAUUCACUGGGUGUAAAGGGAGCGUAGACGGCCGUGCAAGCCAGGAGUGAAAGCCCGGGGCCCAACCCCGGGACUGCUCUUGGAACUGCGCGGCUGGAGUGCAGGAGGGGCAGGCGGAAUUCCUGGUGUAGCGGUGAAAUGCGUAGAUAUCAGGAGGAACACCGGUGGCGAAGGCGGCCUGCUGGACUGCGACUGACGUUGAGGCUCGAAAGCGUGGGGAGCGAACAGGAUUAGAUACCCGAGUAUG